rnacentral:rRNA from 1 species
AUUGAACGCUGGCGGCAGGCUUAACACAUGCAAGUCGAGCGGGGUGAUGGUGCUUGCACUAUCACUUAGCGGCGGACGGGUGAGUAGUGCUUAGGAAUCUGCCUAUUAGUGGGGGACAACAUCUCGAAAGGGAUGCUAAUACCGCAUACGUCCUACGGGAGAAAGCAGGGGAUCACUUGUGACCUUGCGCUAAUAGAUGAGCCUAAGUCGGAUUAGCUAGUUGGUGGGGUAAAGGCCUACCAAGGCGACGAUCUGUAGCGGGUCUGAGAGGAUGAUCCGCCACACUGGGACUGAGACACGGCCCAGACUCCUACGGGAGGCAGCAGUGGGGAAUAUUGGACAAUGGGGGAACCCUGAUCCAGCCAUGCCGCGUGUGUGAAGAAGGCCUUAUGGUUGUAAAGCACUUUAAGCGAGGAGGAAGCUCUUUUGGUUAAUACCCAAGAUGAGUGGACGUUACUCGCAGAAUAAGCACCGGCUAACUCUGUGCCAGCCGCCGCGGUAA